rnacentral:lncRNA from 1 species
AAAUAUGUAAGACAAGCACUCUCAAUAUAACUCAAUAUACAACAAACUCAAGUGAUCAACAUCCUCAACCAAAAUGCUGAGUUUUAUAUCUCCAAAGUCUCAAAAGAUAAUAUUAUAACUACUAUUAAUAUAUCAGUUUAUUCUUAAUCCCAAACGAAUAAUAUAAAAAAAUUAUACAAUCCCAACAAGACGAGAUAACCAAGAUGUCCUAACAAAAAAAAAAAUCUUUUAACACCAUUACGUGGCCAAGUCUCAAAAUAUAUUUACAGUCGCUGGGUCGGUCUGGUGUACUUGCAACCUCCUGGUGAGGGGGAGAAAAUAUAAUAAAACGGGGUGAGUAUAAAACUCAGUGAGAUCAGUGAGUGGAUAGUAGUUUUUAAAAAUUAAUUCUUACUUUAAAAGAAAUAAUCAUAUCAUUUCCAAACACGAUUUCACCAAGCCAUAUGCAAGAAACCAGCAGUAAAUCAUUUAACAUUUAAAUCAGAUUACUAACUAUGAAAAGCAUAUAUAAUAUCGUACCAAAUAACUAUGGAAAUCAUAUCACAAUAUCAUAUAGAAUAGACAAAUAUGAAAAUCAUCACCAAACAAGUACCCAAGGGAAUAAUCUUGUCAUAUCCGGACCUCAAUAGAUGGGGAAUGACGUACUAUCUGGGUACCAUCAUACCCCGGAGCUACAUGGAUAGACAGGGAAAUACCAUCUCAUAUCCCAUCAUAUCUGUGCAUGCAUAAUCCAGUCCCCAAAGGAAAAAAGCGCCCAAGUACACGGCCCAAAGCCGCUGUGUGUACUCAGACGGGCCCCAAAGGCCUGUAUCUCAUUCGUAUCAUCUGUAUCUCAAUAUCUGUCUGUAUUUCAUAUAUGAAAAUCAUCACCAAACAAGUACCUAAGGGAAUAAUCUUGUUAUAUCCGGACCUCAAUAGAUGGGCAAUGACGUACUAUCUGGGUACCGUCACGCCCCGGAGCUACAUGGAUAGACAGGGAAAUACCAUCUUAUAUCUCAUCAUAUCUGUGCAUGCAUAAUCUAGUCCCCAAAGGAAAAAAGCGCCCAAGUACAUAGCCCAAAGCCUCUGUGUGUACUCAGACGGGCCCCAAAGGCCUGUAUCUCAUUCGUAUCAUCUGUAUCUUAAUAUUUGUCUGUAUCUCAUAUAUGUAUCUCUGUAAUGAUCAUACCGCAUGCAUAUGCCCCCAAAAGGCAAAAGCGCCCAAACACACGGCCCAAAGCCUCUAUAUGUGUUCAGACGAGCCACAAAGGCCUCUCAUCUCAUAUCACAUGUAUCACUGUAUCUGGAGGGGAAGGGUACUGUUUAAUGAUUUUAAAAAAAACAAUCUCUAUACUCAUAUUCAUGUAUAUUCUAAUCAUACUUUAAAUCAUACAUUCCUUUUCAUUAUCACAUCUAAAUCCACUUUCUCAUCUUUAAAAUACUAUCAUAUUUCAUUCAAAGUCGAUACACAAAAUCAUUAACCAAACAUUUUAAUAUAAUAUCAAUGCGUGAAUAAAAUCCAUUUCAAGGGAAUCAUUAAAUCAAAACAUUUAAAAUACUUAUUUCACAAACAUGCUUUACUAUCAUAAUUAACUAUGAAAAUAGGUUUUGUAUAUUUCACUCACAGUGAUGGUGUUCACACUCGGUUAUCGUCCACGUCCGCAGAUCAGUUCUUGCUCGCGAAUCCUCCUAAAUCAAGGAAACGACAUAAUUAUUUUCUAUAAAUCGAAAUUAUGACUAAAUUUAUACAAAACACUCGAAAUGAAAUUCUAUUCAUAAUUUACAACUCCUAUGUCGAUAAAAUCUCUAAAAUACCCUCGAAUCCGUAAAUCAUUAACAUACUCCGAAAUCGUAAAUCACCGAAUUACCCUCGGAAUAGUAAUUACACCCAAUCCUCAAUUUCAGAAAUUACUAAAAUAUCCACAGGCUCAGAAAUUACAAAAUUGCCCUCAUAGUGUGAAAUUACCGAAAUGCCCUUGUAGGUCAACAGUCACCGGAAUUUAGUCAACGCUGGCUAGGAAGCUCAAGUCUGAAAGUUCUGGCCACACUGAGUCCAACGGUGGAGGUGGUGACCUCCCACGCGCGGCGAUGACUCUGGAUCGAGUUCUCAAAGUCGUAAGUCUUUCAACGGCCAAUCAACAACAAAACGAUGUCCCCCGGCGACAAUGGAUGGUCAGAAAUGGCAGAGGACAGGGUGAGGAAUAAAACCUAGCUGGUUGCGUCACCAAAAAUUGGUGGAAUCGAUGGCGACGAAAACAGGCGGAGCCGCGGGUUUUCAAGCUUCGAUCGCCGGCGUUCCCGUUGGUUUUUGGCGGCAAGGAUGGCAGGGGAACGACGGCCGACUUCUAAGCUUCCAUUUGGUACCUUGCUCGGCCGAAACGGUGGCCGGAAAUGGGAGAUAUGGCUGGGUCGAUUUCAGGUCAAACGGGUCAGGGUUUCGGGUCGGGUUGACAGCUUCUCUCUCUCAUUCUUCACACACAUGUGGCUUCCCUCUCCUAUUUCCAGCUUCUUUUAUUUAUUUAUAAAAUCCUUAACAGCCUCAUUUCUUUUAUUUAUUUUCACGUAUGUUACACUGAGAGUAACAAAGUGAUUUCUAUGUGGGUUUAUUGAAGAUUUUUG